rnacentral:rRNA from 1 species
UACCGUAAACGAUGACACCAGCGAUUAGUCGGUGUUAAUAUACGACCCGACUAGCAGCUUCCGGGAAACCAAAGUUUUUCGUUUCCGGGGGAAGUAUGGUUGCAAAGCUGAAACUUAAAGAAAUUGACGGAAGGGCACCACCAGGAGUGGAGCCUGCGGCUUAAUUUGACUCAACACGGGAAAACUCACCCGGCCCGGACACUGUAAGGAUUGACAGACUGAGAGCUCUUUCUUAAUUCGGUGGGUGGUGGUGCAUGGCCGUUCUUAGUUGGUGGAGCGAUUUGUCUGGUUAAUUCCGAUAACGAACGAGACUCUGGCCUACUAACUAGAUGUAGGAUCCCUUUGUGGGUCCGUCACUGCUUCUUAGAGGGACGGGCGGCUUUUAGCCGCACGAGAAUGAGCAAUAACAGGUCUGUGAUGCCCUUAGAUGUUCUGGGCUGCACGCGCGCUACACUGAAGGAAUCAGCGUGUGUUCCCUACCCGAAAGGGUUGGGAAACCCGUUGAACCUCCUUCGUGAUGGGGAUUGGGGAUUGCAAUUAUUCCCCAUGAACGAGGAAUUCCCAGUAGGCGCGAGUCAUAAGCUUGCGUCGAUUACGUCCCUGCCCUUUGUACACACCGCCCGUCGCUACUACCGAUCGAGUGAUUUAGUGAGGACUUCGGACUGGUCUUCGUGGUGGCUCUCGAGUCAUCGCGGAGUUCCGGAAAGAUGCCCAAACUUGAUCACUU